AUUGAACGCUGGCGGCGUGCUUAACACAUGCAAGUCGAUCGGUAACAGGUGUAGCAAUACAUGCUGACGAGAGGCGGACGGGUGAGUAAUGCUUGGGAAUCUGCCUAUUAGUGGGGGACAACCCGGGGAAACUCGGGCUAAUACCGCAUACGCUCUACGGAGGAAAGCCGGGGACCGCAAGGCCUGGCGCUAAUAGAUGAGCCCAAGUCGGAUUAGCUAGUUGGUAGGGUAACGGCCUACCAAGGCGACAAUCCGUAGCUGGUCUGAGAGGACGACCAGCCACACCGGAACUGAGACACGGUCCGGACUCCUACGGGAGGCAGCAGUGGGGAA
rnacentral:rRNA from 1 species